ACCCGGGCGAAAGGGACCGAAAUUAAGUAGGGAAGCCAGUGAAUGACGAGGCGAGAAAAGCUCUGGGGAAUGCUAAGGUGCCCGUACCGCAAACCGACACAGGUAGAUGAGGAGAGAAUCCUAAGGCCAACGGGAGAAGGGUUGUUAAGGAACUCGGCAAAAUUACCCCGUAACUCCGGGAUAAGGGGAGCCCCUGUGAGGGGGCCGCAGAGAAUAGGCCCAAGCGACUGUUUACCAAAAACACAGGUCUAUGCUAAAUCGAAAGAUGACGUAUAUGGGCUGACGCCUGCCCGGUGCUGGAAGGUUAAGAGGAGGGCUUAGCGCAAGCGAAGGUCUGAAUUGAAGCCCCAGUAAACGGCGGCCGUAACGAUAACGGUCCUAAGGUAGCGAAAUUUCUUGUCAGGUAAGUUCUGACCCGCACGAAUGGCGUAACGAUUUGGGCGCUGUCUCAACAGCCCACCCGGCGAAAUUGUAGUACCGGUGAAGAUGCCGGUUACCCGCAACUAGACGGAAAGACCCCAUGGAGCUUUACUGCAGCUUAAUACUGAGGAUUGGUAAAUCAUGUACAGGAUAGGUGGGAGACGGAGAAACAGAGGCGGCAGCUUCUGCGGAGUCAACCUUGGGAUACCACCCUUGAUUUACUGGUUUUCUAACCUGCGGCCGUGAAACCGGUCGGGGGACACUGUUAGGUGGGCAGUUUGACUGGGGCGGUCGCCUCCUAAAAGGUAACGGAGGCGCUCAAAGGUUCGUUCAGCACGGACGGAAAUCGUGCAGUGAGUGUAAACGCAGAAACGAGCCUAACUGCGACACCGACGGGUGGAGCAGUAACGAAAGUUGGAGUUAGUGAUCCGGCGGUAUGCAAGUGGAAGUGCCGUUGCUCAACGGAUAAAAGCUACCCUGGGGAUAACAGGCUGAUCUCCCCCAAGCGUCCACAGCGACGGGGAGGUUUGGCACCUCGAUGUCGGCUCGUCACAUCCUGGGGCUGAAUUCGGUCCCAAGGGUUCGGCUGUUCGCCGAUUAAAGUGGCACGCGAGCUGGGUUCAGAACGUCGUGAGACAGUUCGGUCCCUAUCUGUUGCGGGCGUAAGAGAUUUGAAGGGAGCUGUCCUUAGUACGAGAGGACCGGGAUGGACAGACCUCUGGUGCAUCAGUUGUCCUGCCAAGGGCACAGCUGGGUAGCUACGUCUGGACGAGAUAAACGCUGAAAGCAUCUAAGCGUGAAACUCCCCCUAAGAUAAGAUCUCUCAUCCAUUAGGAGUAAGGCUCGACGUAGACUAUGUCGUUGAUAGGUCGGAGGUGGAAGCACUGCAAGGUGUGCAGCUGACCGAUACUAAUAAGCCGAGGGCUUGACCG
rnacentral:rRNA from 1 species